rnacentral:rRNA from 1 species
UACGGAGGGUGCGAGCGUUGUCCGGAAUCAUUGGGCGUAAAGGGCGCGUAGGUGGCCCGGUCAGUUCGUGGUGAAAGCGCGGGGCUCAACCCUGCGUCGGCCAUGAAUACUGCCGCGGCUGGAGCACUGUAGAGGCAGGCGGAAUUCCGGGUGUAGCGGUGGAAUGCGUAGAGAUCCGGAAGAACACCGGUGGCGAAGGCGGCCUGCUGGGCAGUUGCUGGACACUGAGGCGCGACAGCGUGGGGAGCAAACAGGGAUUAGGU